rnacentral:rRNA from 1 species
GACGAGCCUCACAAACGUUAUUCGGAAUUACUGGGCUUAAAGGGUGCGUAGGCGGCGUAGAAAGUUGGGUGUGAAAUCCCUCAGCUUAACUGAGGAAGGGCGCCCAAAACUACUAUGCUCGAGGGAGAUAGAGGAGUGCGGAACUUAGGGUGGAGCGGUGAAAUGCGUUGAUAUCCUAGGGAACACCGGUGGCGAAGGCGGUUCUCUGGGCCUUACCUGACGCUGAGGAGCGAAAGCGUGGGGAGCAAACAGG